rnacentral:tRNA from 1 species
GAACCCUUGGCACAGUGGUAGCGCGUGAGAUUCCAGUCUGGGAAUUCCUCAAGGUCGUCCGUUCAAUCCGGGCAGGGUUCA